rnacentral:rRNA from 1 species
CCCUAUUAUUAUUUAAUGUAUAAGAAGAAUUAUAUAUUGAAAAUGAAAGUUUCUGGCGGUUAAUUAUUACUUAGAGGAGCUUGUUGUUUUUGGUAAGAAUUCACUCUUUAUAUUUUAUAUAUAUAUAUAAAGUUUAUUCAUCUCCGUUAUUAGGUAUUAAUCAUUAAAAUUUAUUUUAUAAUUUCAGGUCUAGAUGUAGCAUUUAUUGGAGAUAAUUAGCUACAGUUGUAAAAUAAUGGAUUUUUGUUUAAAAUCAAAAGGAAAAUGAAUUUGAUUGUAAUUUUAGCCAAAAGGCUAAAAUGAAUUAUUAUAAUUAAUGUA